rnacentral:rRNA from 1 species
ACGUAGGAGGCGAACGUUAUCCGGAUUUACUGGGCGUAAAGCGCGUGUAGGUGGUUCUGUAAGUAGGGCGUGAAAGCUCCUGGCUCAACUGGGAGAGGCCGUUCUAAACUACAGAACUAGAGGAUGGUAGAGGGAGGUGGAAUUCCAGGUGAAGCGGUGGUCUGGGCAGAUACCUGGAGGUCCGCCAGUGAAGAUAGGGUCCCCAUCGGCCAUUCCUUACCCUCAGACGGGAAAUCUAGGGUAGGAAGGGG